rnacentral:rRNA from 1 species
GAUGAACGCUGGCGGCGUGCCUAAUACAUGCAAGUCGAGCGAACAGACGAGGAGCUUGCUCCUCUGACGUUAGCGGCGGACGGGUGAGUAACACGUGGAUAACCUACCUAUAAGACUGGGAUAACUUCGGGAAACCGGAGCUAAUACCGGAUAAUAUAUUGAACCGCAUGGUUCAAUAGUGAAAGACGGUUUUGCUGUCACUUAUAGAUGGAUCCGCGCCGCAUUAGCUAGUUGGUAAGGUAACGGCUUACCAAGGCGACGAUGCGUAGCCGACCUGAGAGGGUGAUCGGCCACACUGGAACUGAGACACGGUCCAGACUCCUACGGGAGGCAGCAGUAGGGAAUCUUCCGCAAUGGGCGAAAGCCUGACGGAGCAACGCCGCGUGAGUGAUGAAGGUCUUCGGAUCGUAAAACUCUGUUAUUAGGGAAGAACAAAUGUGUAAGUAACUAUGCACGUCUUGACGGUACCUAAUCAGAAAGCCACGGCUAACUACG